AACCUACUCCCUCCGUCCAGAAUUACUUGUCGCACAAAUGUAUAAAAAUGGAUGCAUCUAGAACUAAAAUACAUUUAGAUACAUCCAUCCAUUCCUAUGACAAGUAUGUCCCGACGGAGGGAGUACAAA
rfam:Hordeum vulgare subsp. vulgare, WGS project CAJW01000000 data, contig: morex_contig_2546705